GAUGAACGCUGGCGGCGGGCCUAAUACAUGCAAGUCGAGCGAACAGACGAGGAGCUUGCUCCUCUGACGUUAGCGGCGGACGGGUGAGUAACACGUGGAUAACCUACCUAUAAGACUGGGAUAACUUCGGGAAACCGGAGCUAAUACCGGAUAAUAUAUUGAACCGCAUGGUUCAAUAGUGAAAGACGGUUUUGCUGUCACUUAUAGAUGGAUCCGCGCCGCAUUAGCUAGUUGGUAAGGUAACGGCUUACCAAGGCAACGAUGCGUAGCCGACCUGAGAGGGUGAUCGGCCACACUGGAACUGAGACACGGUCCAGACUCCUACGGGAGGCAGCAGUAGGGAAUCUUCCGCAAUGGGCGAAAGCUUGACGGAGCAACGCCGCGUGAGUGAUGAAGGUCUUCGGAUCGUAAAACUCUGUUAUUAGGGAAGAACAAAUGUGUAAGUAACUAUGCACGUCUUGACGGUACCUAAUCAGAAAGCCACGGCUAACUACGUG
rnacentral:rRNA from 1 species